AGAGUUUGAUCAUGGCUCAGAACGAACGCUGGCGGCAGGCCUAACACAUGCAAGUCGAACGAGAAGCCACCUUCGGGUGGUGGAUAGUGGCAGACGGGUGAGUAACGCGUGGGAACGUGCCUUUCGGUUCGGAAUAACCCAGGGAAACUUGGGCUAAUACCGGAUACGCCCUUCGGGGGAAAGAUUCAUUGCCGAAAGAUCGGCCCGCGUCGGAUUAGCUUGUUGGUGGGGUAACGGCCUACCAAGGCGACGAUCCGUAGCUGGUCUGAGAGGAUGACCAGCCACACUGGGACUGAGACACGGCCCAGACUCCUACGGGAGGCAGCAGUGGGGAAUAUUGGACAAUGGGCGCAAGCCUGAUCCAGCCAUGCCGCGUGGGUGAAGAAGGCCUUAGGGUUGUAAACCCCUUUCAGCGGGGAAGAURAUGACGGUACCCGCAGAAGAAGCCCCGGCUAACUCCGUGCCAGCAGCCGCGGUAAUACGGAGGGGGCUAGCGUUGUUCGGAAUUACUGGGCGUAAAGCGCGCGUAGGCGGAUCUGCAAGUCAGGGGUGAAAUCCCGAGGCUCAACCUCGGAACUGCCUUUGAUACUGCGGAUCUCGAGUCCGAGAGAGGUGAGUGGAAUUCCUAGUGUAGAGGUGAAAUUCGUAGAUAUUAGGAAGAACACCAGUGGCGAAGGCGGCUCACUGGCUCGGUACUGACGCUGAGGCGCGAAAGCGUGGGRAGCAAACAGGAUUAGAUACCCUGGUAGU
rnacentral:rRNA from 1 species